rnacentral:rRNA from 1 species
UACGUAGGGUGCGAGCGUUGUCCGGAAUUAUUGGGCGUAAAGAGCGCGUAGGCGGUCCGAUAAGUCGGCUGUGAAAGUCAGGGGCUCAACCCUUGGAAGCCGGCCGAUACUGUCGGACUAGAGUCCGGAAGAGGCAAGUGGAAUUCCCGGUGUAGCGGUGAAAUGCGCAGAUAUCGGGAGGAACACCAAUGGCGAAGGCAGCUUGCUGGGACGGUACUGACGCUGAGGCGCGAAAGCGUGGGGAGCAAACAGG